rnacentral:lncRNA from 1 species
CCAAUCAUUAAAGGGAAGGCUCAACAAUGGGAGGGAGGUGUGGCCAGGGAAGGAUAAUCUGUAUUCUGUAACAAGUCCAUAUUUUCAGCUAUUAUGUACCAAAAGUUUGGCUCCAUAAUUAGAAUGACUUGCUAAGAAAAUGUGAAGACAUAUAUUAGUAUGCAUGAUAACAAACCAACACCAAUAACUUUCUUUCAAUGUACAAUAGGAUCAUUAUGGUGAAGACACAUAUUCGUAUGCAGGAUAACAAACUAACACCAAUAACUUAUUUUCAAUGUACAAUAGGAUCAUUAUAGUGGCGCGCAUGGACAGCCAAAUGGCAGUUCCUGGACCAGAAUGCUUAUGAUAAGAAGUGAACUAGACUAAUAUCCCAAAUUGAUAAGUACAGCAUCAGUAGCAUUUUAUAUGCAAUACUAUGAGAAUGAUGUCACCUGUCAAGUAAGUGAAUAGAAUCCUCAUGUUCCACAAUUGCUCCUUCAUUGCUGCUUCCCCAGCCAAGGUUUACAGCUAAGUCUUCGACUGCAACUUUUAUAACAUCACUUCGAACACCAAUGUCAGUAGCGUAUCUGCUCAUACAGUACAUUCCUGCUGUAACAGUGGCCACACCAACAGGACUAGGAAUUAGCAACUUCAGAGGGGAGGAAAGAAGUGCAGCUAAAGGAGCACCAAUGACAGAAGAAGCUUGUCCACUUCUUCCAACUCCCAAUCUAUCAAGUGUCAGAAGACCUGUUUUGCAAUACAACGCAAAGUCUUCACAGUUGUUUUGGAAUACAUCAUAGUUCCCAAAUCCAUUCUGGAGAAGAUGCAUUGCUCGGUGGAUAACCAUCUCUGGAGGGUCCGACUCAGCAGUAGUGCAAGUGCCCCCUCGCACUUUGGCAAGGAAAACAGAGGGGCUUAC